rnacentral:misc_RNA from 1 species
AAAGUCGUAACAAGGUCUCCGUUGGUGAACCAGCGGAGGGAUCAUUACAGAGUUGUAAAACUCCUAAACCCAUGUGAACAUACCUGUGUUGCCUCGGUGGCCUACCCUGUAGUUACCCUGUAGCUACCCUGUAGUCCACCGAAGGAUUAAAAAACUCUUUUAUUAUUGUAUCUCUGAGACAAAAACAAAUAAGUUAAAACUUUCAACAACGGAUCUCUUGGUUCUG